UUUUUUAUUUUCUAGAUGGUUUAAACAGAGAUGGGUGCCAAAUCAAACUAGUAAGAAGAAGCCUUGAAAAGGAGAACAUUGAGAGAUAAACCUCAAUAUUUCUUCUACAUAUUCUUUGUAGGUAAUGUAUCACCAUUCAUACCUCCCAGGUAUUUCCAUGAGACAAGUACCUCUCAAGGUCUCUCUUCCAGAGUUUAAACUUCUUGAAAUCCUUAAUCUCAGCUGCCACAAAAUUGGCAGUUUUCUGCAACUCUGAGCGGACCCAGCAACUUGAACUGGAUUUCUGUGGGCCGAUUCCUGGGGAUUUAGAAGCUGCUCCUUUGGCAGUGUGGCUGCCUGAUGCUGGAGAGUCACUGAAGCUUUCCCUCUCCCGUUAUCCCUCCAUGAGCAGAAACCCUGGCCUCUGCCUGACUUUCCCACCAUAGAACAGCCCAUGUGCACUGGGAGCUGCCAGGCGGCUGACUACUUUGUUCAGCCUUUCAGAAAACGAGUGUCCUUUCUGAAGCAGAUCCUUUCAGGGUCUCCUCUCCUGGUGUUUUCAGCUUGCAUUCCAGUUCAAAACAGCCGCUGCUAUUUGCAGACUGUAACUUGUGAGGCCCAGUUACGGAAGCAGUCAUGUGCCCUCCACAUUCAUAGAGAAAAGGCUGCAGAGAACUGCUCUGAUAGAGUUGAGAAGUUGGUUCACAGCUAGGAAUUAAAUGUUUAAGCUGACAUUAGCCAGAGUCAGUGCUAAAAGAUGUAGCACUCCCCCCCUCAGCAGCUCAUUCCUACCCUCUCAAGGCCUUGAGUUUGUACAAGCCUGGUCUGAAUGGCAGAGGGAUUGAUCCAGCUGAGCUCUCAGCCAACAGGAACAAAAACACAAGCUGUGAUCUGGCUUGGGGUUGUAAUGCAGUUUUGUAUCCCACCACGUGGACGCAUGUGCCUGUGGAGGCAGAGCUGGAGGGAAGGGAGAGAGCUACUUUGGGGGGACCAUGAAGAAAGGUUCCUUGUGCUGGCUCUGGGGGCUUGUGCUUCCUCACAGGGUGAGGUUAUGUGAAGUGGCUGAUACCUGGGUUUACUGACACCCAGUUCCACCAGAACUUUAUGAUCAUCUCUUGCAGGGAUGGCACACACACGAGCUCAGAGCCCUACCAUGCAGCACGCUGCAGCACUGGAGCACCAAGCAUGGCACCCCUGAGCAAGAGCCCUCAGAGGGGAUUUCCCAGGCAGUCACCAAAACUGAGGAGAUGGGCAUGCGGCAGCCUGGGCUGAGGAUGAGAAACAGUGUGUAGGAGGCACUGGAAGUGCCCUCACCCCAGCUGUCCUGAUAUUGCACUCACGAGAUAACCCAGCACCCAAAGGAAGGCUUCAGUGAUCACCAUAUCCAUCCGUCUGUCCCACUCUAAUAACUUUUAAAACAACUGCCACACUUCAACAUCAUGCAGUACUGUGACGUGCAGCUCAAAGGCAUUAGGGUAGGAUUCGUUUCACCUAAGUUUAGACUUCUAUAGUAUCAGUGUCUUCAUCUGCAUUAGUCACCUUAGGUUGUCCUUACAGUUAGUAGAGACCAGUUGGCACUUUUAACCAUAAUUCAAGUGACCUGAUUUAGAUGACUAUUUUGGGAUGGGAUGACUCAGGGACUAAGAGUGCCUUUCUUUCUUUACUGCUUAGUUAGGAUGAUCAGCUGAAAUGAAGAACAGUGGAAUAGUGGAAUUUUUUAUGUGACUUCCAAAGGCUGGCUCUGUAUCAGAAAAGAAAUGUAAUGAAUCAAAAGCUGAAGUGUGUGCUCACCAGCAGUGGUGUGCCAGUCAAUGUGGGUAUCGAGCUGCCAGCCAGCACAUGCCCCUUGUUGGGAAGCAGAGGGAGUUCACAUUGCCUUUCACCUAGCUGGUAUGUAGAGGAUGUGAGAAGAAGAUGGGUGUUCUACUGGAAUGAGGAGAAAGUCAUACAGAGCUCUAGGUCAGGAUGGCUGCCAGGAUUAUUGUGUUGGGUGGGUAAGAAAAUGAGACACUAGCUCAAAAUAAACAAGCCUUCACUGGAUUUACUGCUCACAGAAUUAAUUGCUUAUUCUCAUGAACUCAAGGCAAAUCUGCAUGCUGUGACUGCUCAGAUAAAACAACUUCUAAAAUAACCCUUUUGGCAUUUGGAGGUCAAGCCCUAUCUCUGAUCAGCUUACGAUGCAGAUUUCCAUUUCCACCUUGGUAAUUUUCAAAUAAACACUUGUGGUGCUUUUUUCCAGAGCCGCUCUCUAUUCUCUGAAGAAGUCAUUAUAAACUUCUCAAAACAACCUCCUCCUUUUUCCUGAGAGACCUCAGACCUGCUAAAGCUCGGAUGAUGGGUGAGCGGUUGCUUUGCUGAGACUUCUGCCUAGAAUGGAUUGCCUCUGUGUCCUGUUGCUUUUUACCUGAUGGC